CUCUCACAGUAAAAACUUCCCCUGAAUGGCUUUGUUUUCACUGAAGAGGAGCACAUCAGAGGUGUUACUGUUACUGUUGAGUAAUUGUAACAAAGGGAAAAGAGCCUCCGAAAUCCCUGUAAGCUGAGGCGUGUUGAGGGCUUAAUAAAUGAUCACUUCCAAAUGCUUUUAAAUCCAGAUAGGCGGUACAACAGUCUAACAUACAUGUGUAACUCUACGUGUGAUAUAGAGUGUUUUCAGGAGGCCAAGGAGUGACUGCUGAUAACUGUUUCUUGGUUUACAUUUAGAUACCUGAUAAUGCAAUAAUGUAGGCUAUGUGAUUAAAGGUUAUUAAGUUAGGUAUUUAUCGCGUAAACAUGCAUUUAUAAUGCAUUUAUAAUGCAUGUUUAUGCGAUGAGAACAUAGCAGGCUGGCUCAACAAGAUCUCAUAUCUUGUGGGUUUUUUGUUUAACUCUGUUUUGUGCUGAUUAGGGGUCUUCCAUUGCUUGCUUAGGUGCACAGAUUGCUUUGUUGAUGAAGAUUUAUAAUUUGGACAAAACUUCUAACGUUCCCUAUCACUGUUUUUGCUUCAUUGUAAUGACACAGGAAUACAAAGCUGGAAAGACUUUGGAGAAACCUCUUCUACCAUGGUGGGAUAUACCUAGACUACUUAAACGCUAAGGCAAAAUCUUCUGUACUUCAAACUAAGUUUAUGAAUUCUUUCAUACUUAUAACUUUGGAGAAUAGUCACCACCUUUUAAUAUCUUUUGAUAUUUGACAUUCUUGUUUAACCAUCUUUCUGUUUGGCGGACACAUCAUUCUCAGAUGAUGUGAAGUUGUUCCUCCAGCUCUCUAGGUACUCUAAUCUGUUUACAUAUUCUCUCAAUAUUGGAAUUCAAAACUGGGUUCUCUUCUCAGGUGGUACAUCUGUCUUCCAGAGGCAGGGCAGAGUAAUUGUGGGCAUUUAUUGAGAGGAAACCACACCCUAUAAUGUUAUGAUGUUUCUCACAGUGCCUUGUGAUAUCAUAUUAUGUUGUAUUAAAUGCUUCAGAGGCUUCCAAAUCCUUGUUUUAUUACUCUUUGGGAAUGGCUGAUACGUUUGUGUUCACAUGCAUGAGUUCCUCCCUACGAAUGUUAUUUUGGAAAUUGAAUGUUCUUCAGAUAAGAACUAACGCUGUGUUACUGGAAUAGUUCUGUGUGAAUUAUACACUUAUUUCUGAGCUUAGAAAAGAAAAAAAAGGCAACUACUAAAGGACUGGGAGUAUUUCUAGACAGACUCUGUUGGAAACUAAUGCAGGAGAUUCCAGUCUUCUUCGUUUUUCAGUGGUUUUGUUUUUGGUUUGAUUGUUUUAUUCAGUCUUAAAGUUUGACUUGCAUUUGUGUCAGAUGUUCUCAUAAAUUCAGUCAAGCUUUUCUAGCAAAGCAGUGUAGAAAUUGCUGUAUGCUAACUGUAUUCACUUGAGCAGGAAUCUGUUCUCUUAGUCCUUGUCAUACUGAAAAUGAUUUCCAUGUGUGUGAAGGUGCAGCACUGACUGUUCUGCUCACUGUUUUCAUUGAUGACUGAUGAUAGUGGACAAUAAGGUACAUGAUGCUAUCUUAAAAUAUUGCAGAAGCAGGGAGGAUUCCAAGUGGUUGGGAGAAAAAUAUUAAAAUUCAAAAUAGGAAAGUAGUCCAGAACUAAUAAAAUGAAAGUAAAUGAAUCAUAAGAAAUAUAUUACUACUGCUUUUGCCUGAAUGUAUUGACUGUGGGUUUUUUUCCAUGUCUUUCAGGAAAUUGAAGGUCAAAUAGAUAGAAUAUGUGAGAUGGGUGAAGUGAUGAGAAAAGCUAUACAGGUUGAUGAGGAUCAGUUUUUUAAGGUUCAGGAGAAACUAGCUCAGCUGGAGCUUGAAAACAAAGAGCUACGUGAACUAUUGUCAAUCAGCAGAGAAUCUUUUGAGGUCGGGAGAGAAGAUAUGCGUGACAGUGAAGCUUAGGUCACAAAAUAUCCAAAUCUUGACUUCAGAGACUGUUAUGAAGCCACCCAACAAGGAUGAUCUGUAACUUGUUCUUUCAGGUGUUUCACGUUUGUUUUAUCUAUCCAAAUGUCCGGCCUGUUUUCUCUGUUGUUCUGAAAUCACAUGCUCCUGAUAACAAAGGCUUGCAUUGCUGCUCUGUCAUAAAUUGCAGCGUACAAAUGUCUAACAGUGAAGUAUUUUUGGUGCAUACUCUUCUGCGGCAGUUUGUCUCAUGAAUGUUAUUUCUGAUAAGCUUUAGUCAGUAAUUCCAACUGUGCAGAUGUCACUUAAAACUGCCUCAUCAGUAUCUGGCAAACAUAAUGCAGAUUCUGGUUAUUUUAUGUGCUGGAAGGAAUAAGAUAAUUUGAAAACUACAUUAUAAAUAAUAGGUUCACAUCUUGCUUUGCCUGCACAGAUUGGGCACGUGGAGCUUUUGCUUUGCUUUGAAGACCCAACACUCAGCAUUUGGUAACAUUCAUACUUGAAAAACUGCUAAGAGGCAGAAUAUCAGAUGGCCAACAGAGCACUUUAAUUACUAACUUAUAUCAGGAGUAUAGUUUGCCUUGAUUUAGAGAAGACCAGUGAGAAUGACCCUUCCUCACACAUCAGCAUGUUUUCUUUUUAUUGCAGAUCUGAGGCUUUUUUUUGCUGUAGGCAGACCUGUUCUUUCUUUACCUGUGCUUUGAGGUGUAUGGAUGCUGAUCUGAAAGCAGUAUGCUCACGUCAAGGUAAUUUAUAUUACAGAGAAUACAGUGCUUUCAGAUCAAAGCUGUUUGGCCUCCCACCACUUUGAAUUUCAGGAAGGGUGAGGUGUGCCUCAAACUAAACCAAAACCAACCACAUGGACAGGUUUUUAAUGUCACAUUGCAGGUAAGUCUAGUGACAGAUGUUAGUUAUUGCAAAAUCCUAUAUUGGGUGAAAUUGAAGUUGCAGCGUAGUAGGAUUUUAUCAAUAUUGUGAUGCUUUCAGUGGCAUUUUAAUGGUGUUUUUUUGGUCUUUCUUGCCAGCGAUCAAGAAAAUACUUCAGUAACAGUAAACAUCUAAUUGUCAAUAUUAUGUUUUUUAUGCUGUUUUUAUCUGUGCAAGAAUUUUGAUAGAUACAGAAGGCAAUUUAGAUCUUAUUAUGAGACAAUUUGGAAUAUGCAGAAAAAAAGUGUUUAGUUGAUAGAACGGGAUUCCUGUUCAGGAACACUGUACAAAAUUCUUUCCUAUAAUAUUUUAAGAGGGAAUUAUAAUAAAAACAAAACUGCAGGCACCA